GCAGCCAUGCCGCGUGUAUGAAGAAGGCCUUCGGGUUGUAAAGUACUUUCAGCGGGGAGGAAGGUGUUGUGGUUAAUAACCACAGCAAUUGACGUUACCCGCAGAAGAAGCACCGGCUAACUCCGUGCCAGCAGCCGCGGUAAUA
rnacentral:rRNA from 1 species